rnacentral:rRNA from 1 species
GUAACAAGGUUUCCGUAGGUGAACCUGCGGAAGGAUCAUUACCUAGAGUUGUAGGCUUUGCCUGCUAUCUCUUACCCAUGUCUUUUGAGUACCUUCGUUUCCUCGGCGGGUUCGCCCGCCGAUUGGACAAUUUAAACCAUUUGCAGUUGCAAUCAGCGUCUGAAAAAACAUAAUAGUUACAACUUUCAACAACGGAUCUCUUGGUUCUGGCAUCGAUGAAGAACGCAGCGAAAUGCGAUAAGUAGUGUGAAUUGCAGAAUUCAGUGAAUCAUCGAAUCUUUGAACGCACAUUGCGCCCCUUGGUAUUCCAUGGGGCAUGCCUGUUCGAGCGUCAUUUGUACCUUCAAGCUCUGCUUGGUGUUGGGUGUUUGUCUCGCCUCUGCGUGUAGACUCGCCUCAAAACAAUUGGCAGCCGGCGUAUUGAUUUCGGAGCGCAGUACAUCUCGCGCUUUGCACUCAGAACGACGACGUCCAAAAGUACAUUUUUACACUCUUGACCUCGGAUCAGGUAGG